rnacentral:rRNA from 1 species
GACGAACGCUGGCGGCGUGCUUAACACAUGCAAGUCGAACGGAAAGGCCCUGCUUUUGUGGGGUGCUCGAGUGGCGAACGGGUGAGUAACACGUGAGUAACCUGCCCUUGACUUUGGGAUAACUUCAGGAAACUGGGGCUAAUACCGUAUAGGAGCUCCUGCUGCAUGGUGGGGGUUGGAAAGUUUCGGCGGUUGGGGAUGGACUCGCGGCUUAUCAGCUUGUUGGUGGGGUAGUGGCUUACCAAGGCUUUGACGGGUAGCCGGCCUGAGAGGGUGACCGGCCACAUUGGGACUGAGAUACGGCCCAGACUCCUACGGGAGGCAGCAGUGGGGAAUAUUGCACAAUGGGCGGAAGCCUGAUGCAGCAACGCCGCGUGCGGGAUGGCGGCCUUCGGGUUGUAAACCGCUUUCGCCUGUGACGAAGCGUGAGUGACGGUAAUGGGUAAAGAAGCACCGGCUAACUACGUG